UCUCCAAUUUACUUCUCAUUUUCGAAAAUCUCUUCCCAUUUCCCUCAACUUCUCUUCCCCGAAUUUGCACCCCAUCACCCAAAUCAAUUUGCACAGCUUCACUGGCCUCAAUUUUCCUCUCAAUCUCUCAAACAUAACCUACUCGUUGUUGCUCAAGCUCUCGUUGGAUCUGUGCUCGCCGCUCAAGCCCUCCUCACACAUGUGCUCGCCGCUCAAGCUCUCGUCACACCUGUGCCUGUCGCACCCUCAAACACGUCUCCCCUGAGCUUUCCGUGUAGUUCUCAGGUAUGUGUUUAUUUAUAUUUCUUUCACAAUUCAUUAUUCUCUCCCUCAAGGUAUUUAGGGUUUGUUUUAUUCUCCCUAUUUCUUGAUUCCAAUUCAUGAAAAGCUUAAAUUGCAAUUGGAAUCUAGCGAGCUUGAGAUGUGGAAAAUUGAAUUGGAAAAGCGUGAGACACAUAGUGAAAGUGAAAGAAGCAUCAAGGGUUGCUUUCUACCUCAGUGUUGUCAUGGGUAGCACAGGUGCUUUGCAGGGUUGUUCCCAUGUCUUUUGUGGAUGACAUUAUUGUACAUUGGUUUCCUUAAAGAAUGAGUUUUUAGGGUGAUGUGGUGUGAAAUUGGGUACCAAUUGUGGAAGAAAAAUAUGUUUUUUUCUUCUUGUUUUUUAUUUUCCCAGUUGGUGUGAGGGAAUGUAAAGUUUCUAUGUAGUGAGAGAGACACUUCAAGAACUGAAAAAUUGGAUUUUUCUUUGUGGGUUGUGGUCUUUUGCUUUUAGCAAUGUGGAUAGAAAUCAAUUGUUGAGGAAGCUGGUUUUUACUUAUGGUUUUUGGGAGUGGUGUCUUUGUUGUGGGGGUGGGGUGUGUUGCAGAAAUGAGUGACUCUGCGGUGUAGAAUUUGGCUAUCACGGAGAAGAAGGUGCAAAAGCCUGGUGGCUGUGUUGGGAUUUUCCUUCAGCUCAUUGAUUGGAAGAGGAGACUUGCCAAGAAAAAGAUCUUCUCUCAGAAACUUCUGACUCCUGGCUCGUGCAAAGAAGUUCAGGGGAGAUGAGAAAAUGCCAAAUUCCAAGCAACAUUUGUAGGAGCAUUGAAUGUUAGAAUGUUGCAACUUGCAAAUCUAGGUUGAGCUUUUGUGCAUUAGAGAGAGGAUCGGUGGGUUUCUAAAGACGUUGGUUAUUCUGGUCAUCCUAUAAAAGCUCAUUUGAUGAUUAAGUUUGACCAAACUAGACCAUUUGGAUAUGGGGAAUAUAUCUUCUUUGAGCUUGUGCCCCUUUUCUUGUGUCAUUUUGUAUUUUCAAUAUUUCUUUUGAUUGAAGCUUGCUUUCUACAUUUGCAGUUUUCUUCAAGGCUGUGUCAUUGACAUCCUAUCGCAACUGAUAUAACCAUUGGGUGGUUGUCAUUUUGGAUUUUGUGAUUUAGGUUGGUGAUGGAGUGUUUGAAGUGUUGUCUACUUCCGGUGAUACAUACUUAGGUGGUGAUGACUUCGAUUAGAAAAUUGUUGAUUGACUGGCUGCAAGCUUCCAGAGAUAUAAGGCCUUGUAAUAGCAGAUGAAGCGAUAUUGGGCCCUCCCGUUGGUCCCUGCAUUAAUGGAGACGAAGGUUGUAGCUUUCACUGUGCAUAUCUUAAGCAUCUUGGGGGUCGUUGUAAAUACGUUGGAAAAUCUAGGCUCUGUUGUUGUUAUAUAAAUUAAUGAUUUAUGGUGUACCCAAGAGUAAUAGAUGAAACUCAUAAAUAAAAGUAAACUCGAAUAAACUAUCGAUUAUGAGUAAAGUUUAAAAGAUUAUUUAUAAUACACAUGAACCUUUUUAAAGUUUAUUGAGAAAUAUAUACAGAG